rnacentral:lncRNA from 1 species
UCAAUGCUUAUGAUUUUCAUUAAACAUAAUGAUCUUUGAUUGUAUCUCUAUUAUGAUGUCAUGUAGGGAACUUUAGAAGAAUGUUUUGGGUUGUCGAAUGAUGUCAUCCAAUCCAAUAAAACAAGGAAAAUCUGAGAGUUAAUUAGUGAUGUCACGGUUAAUUUGGAGCAUUGUCGUUCAUAAUUCAAUGAAGUAGUAACUAGAAAUCGAGUUGUUUGCAUACAUAUCAUGUGUGGAGAAAAAGCCUCUAGUUAUCCCAUCCAUCAUCUUAUUUCUCAAAUUUGUUUUACAGUUUUUCAUACUUGUUUGUUUGUUUCAACUUCGUCCAAAACUCAAUCCCCCUUUACUUGAGUGUGUCUAAUUAGUUAGAAUCUAUUUUAAUUUUUGUUUUAAAAUGUUUUGAUUCAAGUAAAAGUCAAUUUUUGUCCAAAGUCAUUCCUAGUGUCUAGUUUAAGUUUAUUUAGUUGUUUUAAGCUGUUUUGAGUAUUUUAAGUUUUCUUUGAGUCUUGUGAGUCUUGUUAAGUAUUUUUAAGUUUAGUUUUAUGUUUUUGAGUCAGUUUAGAGGUUAUUAGCAAGUCCUCCUAAUCCCCGGUCCAGAACGAUCCCUACUUACAUUCUUUACUACAAUUGAUAAAAGAGGGUUAAAUUUGUGUGUGAAGAUAAUUUUCACAUCAAGUUUUUGGCGCCGUUGCCGGGGAUUAGCAACUUUGCUAAUCCCUUGUUAUUUCUUUUUGUUUAUU